rnacentral:lncRNA from 1 species
ACCACAUUGCAAUGACCUAAAACAACAAAGAUUUAUUAUCUUAUAGUUCUGUAGUUCUGAAUUCUACAACAAGUCUGCCUGGACAAACACGAGGGUGUCUUGUUGGCAGGAUUGUCUUUCUUGGUGGAUGCUCUGGGGAGAAUCUGUUUUCUUGCACAUUCCAGCUUCUAGAGGCCACCACAUUCCUUCUCUCAUGCCCCUUUCUCCAUUUUUGAAUCCAGCCUAGUGUUGAAUUCUCAAACACUGCUUCACUCCGACCUCUUCUGACUUCCUCUUCCACAUUGAAGGAGAUGUGUGAUUACAGUGGGCCCACAUGGAUAAUACAGGAUAAUAUCCCUUUUUUAAAGUCAGAACUUUAAUUCCAUCUUCUACCUUGAUUCCCCUUUGCUAUGUGAUAUGACAUAUUCACAGGUUCUGGGAAUUGUGACAUGGACAUCUCAGAGAGGGGGUCAUAAUUCUAUUACAGUGGCUUAGAAAUUCUGGUGCAUCUUAACUGAGGGUCUCUCGUGAGGUUGCAGUCAAGAUGUCAGCUGGUCUUGGUAGAUGCACGUCUCAGAGAUGAGGGCUGAAGCAGUGAGAGAACUGGGAGACAUGGCUAAGAGAGAGCAUAUCCUAGAGAAAAAAGAGAAGAAGGACAAAGCCAUGGUUGACGCAGUCAAAGGAACAAUGGAUCACACAGGGCAGAAUCACAGAAUCAAGGGGAAAAGAGGGGGUGCUGAACAGCAUCACAUGCUUGGGGGAGAUCAAGAGAAUGAAGCUGGAGAAAAUGUCAUUGGAUUUGGAAAUAAACAGUUCACCAGUAACCUCUUCAAGCUCUCAGGAAGGCAGUGAGAGGAAGCUGGGGUGCAGGGGUGGGGUAGAGGAAAUGGGAUGAUGAGUGGCUCCAUUUUUCAUCCAGAAAGGUUGGCAGGGAAAGGGAAGAGAGAACAGGAUCGUAGCUGGAGGGCACAGCAGGACCCAGCAAAGGUUUUUCCAAGGGGGAGGCAGGGGGACCUGUGCAUGUCUGGAAUACAUCUGAUUUCAAGGCUUGCCUCUGCUUCCAGAUGUGCGACAGUCCAUACAAUAACAUCUCCAUCCGUCAGCUGAGCUGUAGUCCUGCUCUCACGAAGGCUUCCAUGUUUACUAACGUAUGCUGUUAAUUUUGUCUGCCUCGUAGUGGACAGUAUAUUGCCUGGCACUUGUCAAAGGAUUCCUUGCACUUGAUUUAUAUCUACAUUACCAAUCGGCAGCAUUGAUUGCAUACUGACCAAGAGUUCAGUUUCUGAAGUGAGACAGACCUGGUGCUACUAGCUAUGCAGCCUUGGGCCAGUUAAUAUCCCUUAACCUCCAUUUCCUCAUCUGGAAAUCAGGGAUCAUAUCUAUCACAGAGUAUUUUCAGUAGCAUUAAAAGAGCUAAUCCAUGCAUUGUGCUUAACACAAUGCCUGGAACAUAAAAGCUCUAUACAUGCACGGCAACUAUUAGUAGUCUUGG